rnacentral:rRNA from 1 species
CACGUAGGCACCAAGCGUUAUCCGGAUUUAUUGGGCGUAAAGAGCUCGUAGGCGGCUUGUCGCGUCGGAUGUGAAAGCCCGGGGCUUAACUCCGGGUCUGCAUUCGAUACGGGCAGGCUAGAGUUCGGUAGGGGAGAUCGGAAUUCCUGGUGUAGCGGUGGAAAUGACGCAGAUAUCAGGAGGAACACCGGUGGCGAAGGCGGAUCUCUGGGCCGAUACUGACGCUGAGGAGCGAAAGCGUGGGGAGCGAACAGG